CAUAAGUUUACAAAAAAAUCAAUGAAUGUAAAUAUAAAUGUAUAUAAAAUAAAAUGUUUACAAAAUAAUUAUGUCGAUAUUGCAACCGUAGCAAGGUUAUGAAAUACAAAUAAGUUGUAAGUAAACAUGGCCAGAGGAAAUAAAACGCAGGCUACAUUGCAGUGGUCCGAAUGGUCAUGUGAAAACACAGGUAUUUGCUGUUUAAUUUAAAAACAAUGAGAAGGUCAAACGAGUGUAAAUUGUAGAUCUGUGUAUAAAUUAUUGAUUACAAAACGACCUAUAUUAGGUAAAAGAUUCUGUAUUGUUUUAGCUAUUUAUCAUAGUUUUAAUUAUUGAAAAUAGCAGAUACUUGUGAUGAAUUCGACAGGGCCAACCGACACUAACAGGUAAACAUUAACGGGCCCCACUUGAUGGGUACAUAUCUUCAUAGUGAUGUAUUGCUUGACAUUAUAUUAACUAGGUUUUGUAAACAAACUAUCUGCGUCGUAUCAAUGUAAUAACUGCGUAUUUGUUUUAAUUAUUUGCGUCUGUUAAAAGUAUUAAAAGUCGCAACCAAUCAGUGUUUCAUUUUUUCUUUCAAUGUGUAGAAAAAAAAGAGUUGUACACCAUCUGAGGGUGAACAUAGUUUUUCAGUUUUGAAAAUUACAUUUUUUACGAUUUGAUAUUAUCUUCCUGUGUCAUUAAGCAGAUGAAGCCCGAUAUAAUGAACUCAAGCCUCGUUUUAGAUUUGUAUAACUAAAUUCAUUGGCAUUGCACAAGGUUCCAAUACAGACUUCUGCAUGACGAACGUUAUGUGUCAAGGAGACGUGUUUAGAUCAGCCUUUAUCAGUAUUGUUUAACCCCUGGCUGGUGCUGAGUCAAUAACAUCUAAUAUAGAUAUAAUGAAAUAAGGAAGUUUUGUUAAUUUUCUGUACUGUUUUAACAAAUACAAAGUCCAACUGAAAGCGAUUUAAAAUGUGGUCAGACAGAGAUAUAUAUUGUUAUACAUAAAUACACAAUAAUAAACAUACAAAACUGAAAUGUCGUAAUUACAUAAGAAAUGUUACAACACGGUAAAGGUAAGCGGCUAAUAUAAACGGUGAAAACCACACUGAAAACGAGUACAGCAAACAUCUAUUAGAUCGAGUCUACAUACACCUAUACAGGUAAGAUAGUUGUACGUGCCGUGGUUAGUGGUGGUACGCUAUUACUGCGUAUAUAUAAUUAUAUAUGUAUAUAUACUAUAGUUAUUUUUACCCAACACGCUUGUAUAAUUAUGUCAUUCUUAGUAUUACACUGAACAAUAGUAUCGAAAUAUAUUUGCUGAUCAACGUGGACUUUUGGUUUAAAUAUAAGAUCGUUUUUAUGUUGGUGGUUUCUGUAAAUACUACUACCUGUGUAUGGUUUCACACACCACCUGACCUGUGUGCACUAUCACUAUCUUACCUGUACAUGUUGACGUAAUUGAUCCAUAUAACAAGUUUACAAAUCACUCACAAAGAUUGAGACACAAAAUUUACAAAAUCUACUCCAAACAUACGACUUCCCCAAACACUAAACUUCAUUUGUCUUAAUUCAUUCAAAAUCCAAAAUAUUUUUUAUGAAUGGAAUGUGAAAUGUAUACUACUUUAGCAACUGACUGAAAAACUAUUUGGAUUUACGAAAUAAAGAAUCACCAGGUAUCCAUUGUACUUUAUAUUUAUAAAUGAAUAAGUUUUAGCUUGAUAUAGUUAGUUGAAGAUAGUUAAUUGUAGUCCAAAGAAACCAGAAUGUAGAAAUUUUGAUUAAUGAAAGGUUACAAAAAUCGUAAUGAAUGGCAAAUGUGCAAUAUAAAAAUACAGCGAAUAUGAUUGAUUGUUUAUAUUGAAGGAUUGGGAAGAAAUAAUCCCAUGAGAAAUGAAGUUAUACUUUGAACAUAAUGUAUUUACAUUGUACAGAAGAACCUCGAUAUUCUGAUUGUUCUCAUCAACAAUACAUCAGGAAUAUCAGGAAUAUACAAACGAAGUAACGGACUUCACGAAAUGUCAACAUAUCGGCUAUACCAAGUUACGGUGGUUACAUAUUGUAAUCAUAGUAUGAUGGUCCACUUUUAAAUUGAUAUGAAUCAGUCUUCUAUGAACUGUGUGUGUGAAUGCUCGGGUGGUUUAUAACAAAAAGUUAACACAUGAUUCUAAAAACAGAUGUAAAAUGCCACUAGAAAGGUACUUAGUUUGAUUAGUUAGCCAAGUGUAUAAAAUUGAUCAAUAAAAUAUUAACAUAAGCUUCUUUUUCUUUAAAUUUCUUCAUCGGUCAGGCAAUCUUAUUUUGAGCUAGAUACUUAAUGUAACAAUUUCUCUUUGUAACCUCUCCUCGAUAUAUAUUUAAUUAUGCAAGGUGAAGAGCAAAAUAACGACAAAAUUAACAUUCAACCUUCAUAAAGGUCACGUAAUAAAACAAUAACAGAUCGUUCACAACACUGUAUAUUGGCUAAAGUCUACAGAUAGCAUGGUGACCACAUUGUUUAACUCAUCCACCCCUGAAGACACAUUUGAACUCUCCUAAUUCAACGGUUGGAAUAGGUCAUUAUGAAAUUUCAGGGGUGAAGGAGUUAAACAAUCAAGCCACAGCACACCUACUGUAAGCUAAACAUGGUGUAUCAAUUUAAACUCACGUAAUAAGGUGACUAAGGUUCACAUCUAUGAAUUAUCAAUCGCCACUAUAAAACACAUUACUGGAAGCCUUUCAACAUUUAAAACAUCAUAAUAUAUUUAGUAAACGUUUGUAAUUGUCUAGUCAUAAAAACGUGUACUUGGUCAGUUGUCUAUGCUGUGCUCACAUUAUAAGUGGGCCCUGUUACAAAGUCCGUGUUGUUAUAUAACACUGGUGUGUGUCUAACGUUAUCAGACAUAUUGACAGGCACUGGUAUUGAUAAAAACCUCUCCCACAAUGGCUGGGUACAUGUGGCGUGGAAA